rnacentral:rRNA from 1 species
UACGGAGGGGGCAAGCGUUAUUCGGAAUUAUUGGGCGUAAAGGGCGCGUAGGCGGCUAGAUGUGUCAAAGGUGAAAUCCCUCGGCUCAACUGAGGAACUGCCUUUGAAACUGUCUGGCUUGAGGCCGGGAGAGGGUAGCGGAAUUCCCAGUGUAGCGGUGAAAUGCGUAGAUAUUGGGAGGAACACCAGUGGCGAAGGCGGCUACCUGGACCGGUUCUGACGCUGAGGCGCGAGAGCGUGGGGAGCGAACUGG